rnacentral:tRNA from 1 species
GUGCUCAAGGUGUAGUGGUUAUCACAUCUGUCUAACACACAGAAGGUCCCAGGUUCGAUCCCCGGUUAGCACA